ensembl:lncRNA
GGAAAAGCCACAAAGGCGGGCAAUGACACACAUAUCAAUGCAGCCCCUGCAAGGUCAACCCCCAAUGUCGGGCUCCAGGGUGUGCAGUGCUUUGCUGUCUAGCUGAGGUGCUGCUCAGCAUUUUUUAUGAAGCACCCACUGCUGUGUUUGGCAAACUUUGUCGCAGGAGGCUGGAUCCUGCCAGAAGAUAUCUGUUUUGUCUGGUAUCCAAACCCCAGUCAGCAAAAGUUUUGUCUGAUACCCAAAACCUGUGAACAACAAGUCUGGUCUGGUAACCAAAAACUGUAUCAACAGAAAGCCAGGGAAGACCAGAAGCAGGAGACAAAAUAAUGAUAAUAAAAUAUUAGUUUAUUUAAAAUGGAUAAUCUUU